AGGGAGCGCGUGCGGCGCCCGGGCCGCUGCGGGCUGCCCUCAGGAGCGGGGCGGGUCUGCGGCUGCCGCAUUCACGGUGGGGACUUGCUGUGUUGGAUCCAGCUGGACUGCACCCCUGCGGCCAUCUGGCAAAUGCUACAUUUCCACUGGUCCUCUGCACCAGGCAAGAGGGAGGCUCAGGCCUGAGCCCGAAAAAAUUGCUGGCAAGCUUUAGCCAAAAAUCAUCAACACAGUUUUCCAUGGUGGGUAUAAACUUAUCUUAGUGCAAGGAAUGGACUACUUUUGAAAAUCUGUCCACGCCCUGACGAUGGUGGGUUGAAGAUUCUGCCCUGCUGUCUUUACCUGUACAUCAUCCUUGCUUUUUCCCAUACCA